rnacentral:sRNA from 1 species
AGGGAGGCUUCUGGCCUAGGGAGGCUUCUGGCCUAGGGAGGCUUCUGACCUAGGGAGGCUUCUGACCUAGGGAGGCUUCUGGCCUAGGGAGGCUUCUGAUCUAGGGAGGCUUCUGACCUAGGGAGGCUUCUGGCCUAGGGAGGCUUCUGGCCUAGGGAGGCUUCUGACCUAGGGAGGCUUCUGGCUUAGGGAGGCUUCUGGCUUAGGGAGGCUUCUGGCUUAGGGAGGCUUCUGGCUUAGGGAGGCUUCUGGCUUAGGGAGGCUUCUGGCUUAGGGAGGCUUCUGACCUAGGGAGGUUUCUGACUCUGACAGGUCCGUGGAUCGCGGAUCUCAUCUUUACACAAUGUAUAGAUUGAAUCUUAUAGUUAAAUUGCUGUUGUUUUUAGCUAGCUCUCUAACUGCUAUAAAAGAUGCUCCAGGCUCUCUUAGCAGUGAUUUCCAUCUUUCUGUUAGGAUUAUCUAGUCUCUUUUAGCUGCUGAUUCUCUUUGUAAAUUGCUAGCAGUCAUUACAGGUACUUUCUGAUAUUCAUCUGCCUGAGUGUGA